rnacentral:rRNA from 1 species
AGUGAACGCUGGCGGUAGGCCUAACACAUGCAAGUCGAACGGCAGCACAGUAAGAGCUUGCUCUUACGGGUGGCGAGUGGAGGACGGGUGAGGAAUACAGCGGAAUCUACUUUUGCGUGGGGGAUAACGUAGGGAAACUUAAGCUAAUACCGCAUACGACCUACGGGUGAAAGCAGGGGAUCUUCGGACCUUGCGCGAGUGAAUGAGCAGAUGUCGGAUUAGAUAGUUGGCGGGGUAAAGGCCCACCAAGGCGACGAACCGUAGCUGGUCUGAGAGGAUGAUCAGCCCCACUGGAACUGCGACACGGUCCAGACUCCUACGGGAGGCAGCAGUGGGGAAUAUUGGACAAUGGGCGCAAGCCUGAUCCAGCCAUACCGCUUGGGUGAAGAAGGCCUUCGGGUUGUAAAGCCCUUUUCUUGGGAAAGAAAAGCAGCAGGUUAAUACCCCGCUGUUCUGACGGUACCCAAAGAAUAAGCACCGGCUAACUUCGUG